AUUGAACGCUGGCGGCAUGCCUUACACAUGCAAGUCGAACGGCAGCACGGGAGCAAUCCUGGUGGCGAGUGGCGAACGGGUGAGUAAUAUAUCGGAACGUGCCCAGUCUGGGGGAUAACGUAGCGAAAGCUACGCUAAUACCGCAUACGAUCUAUGGAGUGAAAGCGGGGGAUCGCAAGACCUCGCGCGAUUGGAGCGGCCGAUAUCAGAUUAGGUAGUUGGUGAGGUAAAGGCUCACCAAGCCGACGAUCUGUAGCUGGUCUGAGAGGACGACCAGCCACACUGGGACUGAGACACGGCCCAGACUCCUACGGGAGGCAGCAGUGGGGAAUUUUUGGGACAAUGGGCGCAAGCCUGAUCCAGCAAUGCCGCGUGCAGGAUGAAGGCCUCGGUUGUAACUAGCUUUUGUUACGGUAACGAAACCGGUAAAGACGU
rnacentral:rRNA from 1 species